rnacentral:rRNA from 1 species
GAUGAACGCUGGCGGCGUGCCUAAUACAUGCAAGUCGAGCGAACAGACGAGGAUCUUGCUCCUCUGACGUUAGCGGCGGACGGGUGAGUAACACGUGGAUAACCUACCUAUAAGACUGUGAUAACUUCGGGAAACCGGCGCUAAUACCGGAUAAUAUAUUGAACCUCAUGGUUCAAUAGUGAAAGACGGUUUUGCUGUCACUUAUAGAUGGAUCCGCGCCGCAUUAGCUAGUUGGUAAGGUAACGGCUUACCAAGGCAACGAUGCGUAGCCGACCUGAGAGGGUGAUCGACCACACUGGAACUGAGACAGGGUACAGACACCUACGGGAGGAAGCAGUAGGGAAUCUUACGCAAUGGGCGAAAGCCUGACGGAGCAAAGCCGCGUGAGUGAUGAAGGUCUUCGGAUCGUAAAACUCUGUUAUUAGGGAAGAACAAAUGUGUAAGUAACUAUGCACGUAUUGACGGUACCUAAUCAGAAAGCCACGGCUAACUACGUG